rnacentral:rRNA from 1 species
AGUGAACGCUGGCGGUAGGCCUAACACAUGCAAGUCGAACGGCAGCACAGUAAGAGCUUGCUCUUACGGGUGGCGAGUGGCGGACGGGUGAGGAAUACAUCGGAAUCUACUUUUUCGUGGGGGAUAACAUAGGGAAACUUACGCUAAUACCGCAUACGACCUACGGGUGAAAGCAGGGGAUCUUCGGACCUUGCGCGAUUGAAUGAGCCGAUGUCGGAUUAGCUAGUUGGCGGGGUAAAGGCCCACCAAGGCGACGAUCCGUAGCUGGUCUGAGAGGAUGAUCAGCCACACUGGAACUGAGACACGGUCCAGACUCCUACGGGAGGCAGCAGUGGGGAAUAUUGGACAAUGGGCGCAAGCCUGAUCCAGCCAUACCGCGUGGGUGAAGAAGGCCUUCGGGUUGUAAAGCUCUUUUGUUGGGAAAGAAAAGCAGCAGGUUAAUACCCCGCUGUUCUGACGGUACCCAAAGAAUAAGCACCGGCUAACUUCGUG